rnacentral:tRNA from 1 species
UGGGGUAUGGUGUAAUUGGCAACACGCUAGAUUCUGAUUCUAGUAUUCCAGGUUCGAGUCCUGGUACCCCAGCCA